ensembl:lncRNA
CCCACAGAGAAGAAGAUUUCAACUACUGCAGUUGGCUAACGCGAACAGUGUGAAUGACACACGUAGGAUAUGAAGGAACUACAAACAGUCGAAUCUCACCUUAUCGAGAUUGAAUGUGUUGUGUUGUGCUGUAACCGUGAGAUUAACUUUACUUCCUUAAUAAAAGGUAAGAUACUGUAAAGUCUGCGUUUGCUAUUUGUCCGUACUCACCGGUUAACAUCCAUUAGCUAGCGCCACUGUGCUGCCUUUAGUUGAUGGGUUGUGUAUAGGCUGUUGUUUACAGUCCAUUCUGUGAAAAAUACAACAGUCGGCAUGAACUAAAAGAACCACUGUCACGGAGCUUGGGGAGUUCAUUUUAACAGGGGAUGAACGUGGACAUGUGAACACAACAAUCGCAUUACGCUAUUAGAUCGCAGAUGAUAUGACACUGUAACGACAAAUGGGAAAACGUUGGCCUACGUAUUAUGUGGUGUGUUUUUGCAGAAGCCCUAAGCUGCCAUCAAUUCACAUUUAAAUGUUUUCGCGUGAUAUCGAGUUAUUUUAUUUUCUCUUGAGACCUCUACUUAUUUACGACUUCAUCCCGAGAUAACGGAACCUUGUUGUCCUGAGAAAAUGACAUAGUUAAGUCGGUAUCUCAACACAUUCAUUCUGCAGCGUUCGGAAUGUUCUGUAGGGUAAGCAACGAGUAGCCGUGAUCACUGCAUCACAUUUCACAAGGUUUGGUGACUGCUUUGGUGAAGAAAAUGCCCACAUCAGAGAUUUGGGGCUAUCACAGCUCGGAGUUAAACACAAUUUGUUAGGAUGCACUUUGACCCAGUCAAGCAACAACAGCAUUCUGCUCACGUUGGACUGUCCAGCCGGUCGAGCUUGUCAGCUGUCUUUGCUAUGUAUCGUUUUUCCGAGAUGUCGAAUUAAUGAUGUUGUUAUCUCUGGAAAACUAAUCUUCAUUAUCUCGAGAUAAUGACAUAAAUAAGCCGAGAAGGUCUAAAAUAAUUGUGAAUUGGUGGCAUCGGAAUUGAGUGUAAGUAAAUACCUGUUAAUUGAGAGCAUCUGAAAGUGUAAGUAAAUAAGUAUAAAUUGAGUGCUUUUGAACGUUGUAAAGAAAUUAUAUUGUACUUUUUUUUAACAAUAUUAUCUUUGUUUACGUUCGUGAUGAUUAAAAACGUAAUCUUAAGUAUUGCUCAGCAAAUUCAAUCAAUUCAAUUCAAGGCCUUCACAAGGAAGGUCCUGAUGCGUGUCCAUGGUAACUUGGGACAAUAGAUGCAUAUCCAUGGUAACUUGGGACAAUGGGAUGCCCGUCUAUGGUAAUUUGGGACUAUUGGAUGUUUAAUGUUGAGGCUACCUGGUGUCUGUCCACUGAGCAUAACAGGUAGGCUAUGUUAAAAAAUAUUCAAAUAAAUAGUUUACCCCAACUGAUGCAUAAUGUAAAGGUAGAGCUACAGUUAGUGUAAACUACCGGAUGGUGACUUUGGUGGUCUGUCACUGUGGUGUAGGCUGAUGAGCCAAUGCUGCCAAAGGUGGACACUCUGAUGUCACAGUUUAUUAUACGGCUCCUGUUGGAUAUAUAUAACAACAAAACAAUACAAGUAUUCCCCCUGAGGUAAGAGUGACCACAUAUCACAACAAAACAAUAAAAGUACUCUCGCUGAGGUAAGAGUAACCACAUAUCACAACAAAACAAUAAAAGUACUCUCGCUGAGGUAAGAGUAACCACAUAUCACAACAAAACAAUAAAAGUACUCUCGCUGAGGUAAGGGUAACCACAUAUCACAACAAAACAAUACAAGUACUCUCGCUGAGGUAAGAGUAACCACAUAUCACAACAAAACAAUACAAGUAUUCCCCCCGAGGUAAGAGUGACCACAUAUCACAACAAAACAAUAAAAGUACUCUCGCUGAGGUAAGAAUGACCACAUAUCACAACAAAACAAUAAAAGUACUCUCGCUGAGGUAAGAGUAACCACAUAUCACAACAAAACAAUAAAAGUACUCUCGCUGAGGUAAGGGUAACCACAUAUCACAACAAAACAAUACAAGUACUCUCGCUGAGGUAAGAGUAACCACAUAUCACAACAAAACAAUAAAAGUACUCUCGCUGAGGUAAGAAUGACGAUAUAUAACAACAAAACAAACAAAAAAAAAGUGUUGGCAAAACCUUCAAACACCACCAACCGCCCAGCUGACACUGACACUGACACAAGCUUGCAAACACACUAACUGGUGUCUUUUGGCAGUAUAGCUGUGAAAGGUUUUCUUCCAUUUUUGCAGGGUGUUCCAGCCCGUUACACAGAACUACACAGGGCAUAUCAUGGAUGUCUAGUGGAGAAGACACAUUUGUUUAUCUGUCCUUCACAUGACCAUAUGCUAUCAAAAUGUAUUUGAGGAUGGUACCAAAACUAGUUGCCUAUAAAACCAUACCUCAAAAAGUGUCAAAUUCUUGCAUAGUGUUACUUUAACUUAACUUAAUGACGAUACAUUAUCUUACUUAUCGAAUGGUAAUUAAAGCAUUUUGUUAAUGACACUAUUAGAACCUCGCUUCAGACUGAGAGUUAGUGUGUUUGUGUGUGUGUGAGUUCCCUUUAAUGGUAAUUAAAGCAUUUUGUUAAUGACACUAUUAGUACCUUGGAUCCGUAGGAUACGAUCACUUUAAUGGUGUUGUGGUUCUACUUUAAUGGUUUACCAAAGGGUAA